AAAAGAGAAAGGAAAGGACCAAUAGUUCAAAAUGACACAGAGGCUGUGUGUGUGCGUGGGAGGGGGGGAGUUGAAAAUGCUCUAUGGUUUUGCUACAAGGAGGUCUUCGGCGGCCUUGCCAAAGGUUGGCCCUCAGAGGUGAGGGCGGACGCCAGGUGACUGGGUGUGAAGGAGCAAACCGGUAGUGAGGAGAUGUCGGGAGACAGCAAAUGCCACCCACUCUUUCAAGGAAUUUGGUGGGAAGAGGAGCAGAAAACUGAGGUGGCAGCCAGAGGUGACCACUGCGGGGGAAACCGGAAGCUCCAUUAAAUACCUGAUGAGCAGAAGUGCAGAAAACCUGUGCUCCGUGGAACUGGGACUUGGAGGAGCCAGCCAGGAGAAGAAGAGGGGGAAGGACAUCACCGACCCAGACAGCACCAGACGGAGUCUUGCUCUACCGCCCAGGCUGAA